rnacentral:ncRNA from 2 species
AUCUGGAGAGAGGCGCCUUGCGCGCCCACCGAAGGGGAAGCCGCGCUGCCGCGCGGUGAAGCUCUCAGGUAACGGGACAGAU